rnacentral:rRNA from 1 species
AGGAUAAACGCUGGCGGCGUGCCUAACACAUGCAAGUCGAACGAGAGUAGCAAUACUCUAGUGGCAGACGGGUGAGUAACACGUGGUCAACCUACCUUUAAGUGGGGGAUAACUAGCCGAAAGGUUAGCUAAUACCGCAUACGAUCUUCGCGUGGCAUCACAUGAAGAUGAAAGGAGCAAUCCGCUGAAAAGACGGGACCGCGUCCCAUUAGCUAGAUGGUGGGGUAACGGCCUACCAUGGCGACGAUGGGUAGCUGGCUUGAGAGAGCGACCAGCCACACUGGGACUGAGACACGGCCCAGACUCCUACGGGAGGCAGCAGUGGGGAAUAUUGCGCAAUGGGCGAAAGCCUGACGCAGCGACGCCGCGUGGGGGAUGAAGGCCUUCGGGUUGUAAACCCCUUUCAGCAGGGACGAAGCGAGAGUGACGGUACCUGCAGAAGAAGCACCGGCCAACUACGUGCCAGCAGCCGC